CCGAAGCCAAGGCCACUUCACCGAGGGGCGCCCCGGGAAAACCUCCCCUCUAAUUACCAGGAAUUUCCCUUCGUCCCUCCUCCGGGAGCCCAGCCCGGCCACUCUGGGGCUGGCGGACAAGGAGACUCAGCGUGAGACAAGACUCGACGUUUGCAUAAACGUUGCCUGGGAGCCAUCUAUUAGCUACCCAGCUAAGUCACUAGCUCAACUACUAGGGAAAACACAGAACCCAGGCCUGGGAACCGCGCGGGUACGCGGCUCUGGUCGCCCCCGCCGCCGAGGCGCCACCUCUGGCGGUGCGGGCAACCUCGGGCUUUCAGUUGGUUGGUGACCUAUCUCCAUCUGAGACAAGCCAGGACCAUCUCAUUAACCUGCCAUCCUCUCCAUCGCCAACCCGGUUUGUGAUGAAAGGACUGAGGUUUCUCUGACCCAGGACCAAACAAGACAGGGAUUACCGUGCUGAGAUUGGGUAAGCACGAUCUCCCGCCCACCUCACUCUUUGCAAAGCACCUUCGCAUGCUGCAUCUCCUGCAAGGCAUCCUGAAGAGACACUGCCAGCUUCCUUCAACAGAUGGGAAACUGGAGCUCAAAGAACGGCUGGAGAUUGCCUGAAGAUUUCCCAGCAUGGAGGGCAGAGCCAGGAUUCCGUGACAUUCUAAGUCUAGGGUGGUUCUUGACGGCCUCUUGCCCAAUUCCAAGGAGGAUGGGGACAUCUUUCAGGAGGCCUUGUGGGCUAAUAUAGGGCCCUAGCUUGGUACCCAGAGGUGAAGACAUUCAAUUGAAUGCCGCUGUCACUGAAUCCCGACUUCUGUACAAGGCACAUACCAGGCAAAGAUAACUUCCACAGCCUCUGACUCAGAGUCGUUAAGGGUUCUCGGAGAAGCAGCUCCAAAAGCUGUCAGGAAACCAUAUCCUAGAGAGGGCACGCCCAGAGCAUGGGCAGUGCCAAUUCUCUGAGGGCCAGACAAGACACAUGAGCUCUCUAAUUGGGCACCGUGUUGCCUGGAGUCCACUAAUGCUCUUAGAGACCAUCUGGGACUUCUUUGCAGAGUAGGCGGGUGUUUUGCUCUGCUGGUACCAUCUUGCCCAGAGGUGGAGGAGCCUGGACCCUUAAAGAGGCCCCUGGAAAGGAAGCAGCUCUUCUCCCAAAGACCCUGACAUGCAGCCCCAGCGUGGCAGUGAGUGAGCUCUGCCAGGAGACCACAGUUCUGGUGUCCACUAUGACAAUGACCUCCUUCCCCAUCUUCAUGUCCUCAUCUGCCAAGCGAGGGGGGUUGUAAAGGAAGGCUCCUAACAUCUCUAACCUGGGGUUCCAAGAAGUGUGAGGGAGAGUGGUCCCAUGGAAGCUCCUGCAGACUUCUGAGGACACUUGGAGAACAGG